GGUAUAGCUCCAACCUGAUCCCUCCCAGACCCUCCAGGAGCAUCUGCAGUCUCCCCGUUGAGUCGCUCUUUCACAAGGGGCGUUAUCACGCCCGAUGGGUAGUUGAACAGCCACCCCAUCAAUCGGCCAAGUGUGCACGGAGGUGCACAAGCCACUCGUUCUCAUUCUGCCCCACAACGAGCCCAGGCCGGUCUCUAACCGUCCAGGCACAGACUCCGCGCCCGUGUCUCGGGAGAGGCUGGCACCGCCGGGCAUGCAGGGGGCGCUGGGCAAGAGCGUGGGGGCAAUCACGUUGCCCGGAACCGCGCCUCCGGC
rnacentral:lncRNA from 1 species